UACGUAGGGUGCGAGCGUUGUCCGGAAUUAUUGGGCGUAAAGAGCUUGUAGGCGGUUUGUCGCGUCUGCCGUGAAAAUCCGGGGCUCAACCCCGGACUUGCGGUGGGUACGGGCAGACUAGAGUGUGGUAGGGGAGACUGGAAUUCCUGGUGUAGCGGUGAAAUGCGCAGAUAUCAGGAGGAACACCGAUGGCGAAGGCGGCGUCCUGGACCAAUACUGACACUGAACAGCGAAAGCCAGGGGAGCAAACGGG
rnacentral:rRNA from 1 species